rnacentral:rRNA from 1 species
AUUGAACGCUGGCGGCAUGCUUUACACAUGCAAGUCGAACGGCAGCGCGGGCUUCGGCCUGGCGGCGAGUGGCGAACGGGUGAGUAAUGCAUCGGAACGUGCCCAGUAGUGGGGGAUAGCCCGGCGAAAGCCGGAUUAAUACCGCAUACGACCUGAGUGUGAAAGCGGGGGACCGAAAGGCCUCGCGCUAUUGGAGCGGCCGAUGUCGGAUUAGCUAGUUGGUGGGGUAAAGGCUUACCAAGGCGACGAUCCGUAGCUGGUCUGAGAGGACGACCAGCCACACUGGGACUGAGACACGGCCCAGACUCCUACGGGAGGCAGCAGUGGGGAAUGUUGGACAAUGGGGGCAACCCUGAUCCAGCCAUGCCGCGUGCGGGAAGAAGGCCUUCGGGUUGUAAACCGCUUUUGUUCGGGAAGAAAUCCUCUGGGAUAAUACCCCGGGGGGAUGACGGUACCGGAAGAAUAAGCACCGGCUAACUACGUG